UACGUAGGGUGCAAGCGUUGUCCGGAAUUAUUGGGCGUAAAGAGCUCGUAGGCGGCUUGUCACGUCUGCUGUGAAAACUCGGGGCUCAACCCCGAGCCUGCAGUGGAUACGGGCUAGCUAGAGUGCGGUAGGGGAGACUGGAAUUCCCGGUGUAGCGGUGAAAUGCGCAGAUAUCAGGAGGAACACCGGUGGCGAAGGCGGGUCUCUGGACCGAUACUGACGCUGAGGAGCGAAAGCGUGGGGAGCGAACAGG
rnacentral:rRNA from 1 species